GGCCCCAUCGUCUAGUGGCCCAGGACGCCGCCCUCUCAAGGCGGUAGCACGGGUUCGAAUCCCGUUGGGGCUACAA
rnacentral:tRNA from 1 species